rnacentral:rRNA from 1 species
AUUGAACGCUGGCGGCAGGCCUAACACAUGCAAGUCGGGCGAGUGGCGGACGGGUGAGUAAUGCAUGGGGAUCUGGCUGAUGGCGGGGGAUAACGACUGGAAACUGUCGCUAAUACCGCAUACCAUCAGAUGAACCCAUAGGGGAUUAGGUAGUUGGUAAGGUAACGGCUUACCAAGGCGACGAUCCCUAGCUGGUCUGAGAGGAUGAUCAGCCACACCGGGACUGAGACACGGCCCGGACUCCUACGGGAGGCAGCAGUGGGGAAUAUUGCACAAUGGGCGCAAGCCUGACACAGCCAUGCCGCGUGUAUGAAGAAGGCCUUCGGGUUGUAAAGUUCUUUCGGUCGCGAGGCGUUAACGACAGAAGAAGCACCGGCUAACUCCGUGCCAGCAGCCGCGGUAAUUC